GCCAGGUGUGGUGGCGCACACCUGUAAUCCCAACUACUUAGGAGGCUGAAGCAGGAGAAUCACUUGAACCUGGGGAGUGGAGUUUGCAGUGAGUGGAGAUGGUGCCACUGCACUCCAUCCUGGGUGACACAGUGAGACUCUGUCUCAA
rnacentral:SRP_RNA from 1 species